CCAACAGGGAAGGCGAGUUUGGGACUUUUCCUGUUUCUGAGACAGUAGAGAGCAGUCUUCAGCCUGGGCCCCAUUUCUAGGUAAGUAGCUGAAUUGGAGUUUUGUCUUGAAAAUUCUCCCUCAUGACUAAAAGUUAAGAUUGACCACCGCCUGGUCUUCAUUUCUGCUUCCAUUAGAGAGCUCAGUAAUCAUAUUGCCAGAAAUUAUAAGUUCCUCUUCAAAGCUUCUUUGGUCUUUCUUGCUCUGUACACAGCCCUUCCUGCUUAAUCUGUAAUGAGCACUUGUUUUUCUGCUUAAUCUGUAACCUGCAAACCUCUUACUCUGUAAACAACUCUUCCCACCUAGUUGGUAAGGAACAGCCUCUCCCUUCCCGCAUAAUUGGCCUUAUUCAAUUUCAAACACUAGCCAAUCGGGUCAGUUUAGACUGUGCAGUCCAACUCCAGCCAAUGGGGAAAGGACACAGAAACAGGAACUGCAUCAGCCAAUGGGGAAAGGACACAGAAACAGGAACUGCAUUAGGGGUAAAAACCCCUGCCCUCCCAGCUUGGUGUGCUCUUGCGAUUGUGACUGAUGCAGGCAGCACCCUUCUGCAGAAGUAAAUGUGCCUUGCUGAGAAAUUUUC
rnacentral:lncRNA from 10 species